UCAGAGACAUUUGCAGAAGAAAUUGGAAGAGGAAGAAGAAGAAGAAGAAGAAAGAUGUUGAGAACUCGACUUCUCUGGUUUACGCUUGGGUUUUCCGUCAGCGGAGGUUCCAUUGCUCAUCUCGUUUGGCGUGAUCUCUAUGCAGAACGUUUCGCUAUUACUUCUGAUAUGAAGGAGAAAUUCAACGCUCUGGAAGGUAGAGUUUCAGGUUUGGAGUCGUCUGGUGGUUAUGAGAAUCCGACUCCAGCUCAGGCUCACAGUUGAAGACUCUUGGAAGCUACACCAAGCCCAAAUUAACCAAAGACUUGGCUGAUCUGUCAGAGAGUUGCGAACUUGCAAUCUUCACUUGCAAGAUCUAAAGAUGCUUUGAAUAAUCUUCUAAACAAAAAAGUUUUUGUUUUUGUAAACGACUUACCUUUUGACUCUCGAGAUUUCUUCUGCAAGCUACGAGCAAGACUUACAUUUGUGUUAACAGUACAAAACAUUCGGCUUCAUUUAUUACAAGAAAUGGUUUAGUA